rnacentral:tRNA from 1 species
UUAAAGAACUUUAUAGAUUUAUUGCAAGUAGAUAAAAAUUAGUUUAAUUUUUUAAC